rnacentral:rRNA from 1 species
UACGUAGGGUCCGAGCGUUGUCCGGAAUUAUUGGGCGUAAAGGGCUCGUAGGCGGUCUGUUGCGUCGGGAGUGAAAACUUACAGCUUAACUGUGAGCGUGCUUUCGAUACGGGCAGACUUGAGGCAUUCAGGGGAGAACGGAAUUCCUGGUGUAGCGGUGAAAUGCGCAGAUAUCAGGAGGAACACCGGUGGCGAAGGCGGUUCUCUGGGGAAUGUCCUGACGCUGAGGAGCGAAAGUGUGGGGGAGCGAACAGG